rnacentral:rRNA from 1 species
CUACGGGAGGCUGCAGUGAGGAAUAUUGCACAAUGGGGGGAACCCUGAUGCAGCAACGCCGCGUGGAGGAUGACGCAUUUCGGUGUGUAAACUCCUUUUAUAUGUCAAGAAAAUGACGGUAGCAUAUGAAUAAGCACCGGCUAACUCCGUGCCAGCAGCCGCGGUAAUACGGAGGGUGCAAGCGUUACUCGGAAUCACUGGGCGUAAAGGACGCGUAGGCGGGUUGGAAAGUCAGGUGUGAAAUCCUACAGCUUAACAGUAGAACUGCACUUGAAACUUCUAAUCUAGAGUAUGGGAGGGGGAGAUGGAAUUAGUGGUGUAGGGGUAAGAUCCGUAGAUAUCACUAGGAAUACCUAAAGCGAAGGCGAUCUCCUGGAACAUUACUGACGCUAAGGCGUGAAAGCGUGGGGAGCAAACAGGAUUAGAUACCCCAGUAGUC